UUAGUCAAUUGCAAUUUGCAGUCCAUAUUUUAACAACAUAAAUUAAUAUGUGCCUAGAUAAAAAAAAAUUAUUAACGCCCAAAAAUUCUAAAAAAAUGAAUAUUGAUGUUCCUAAUUACCCAAUUAUUUGUAUGUUUAAACAAUAACACAAUUUGUCCAAAAAAAACUAAAAUAAGUAAAUCCACAUUGUGAACCCCAAACCCCAUUUACC
rnacentral:lncRNA from 1 species